ensembl:lncRNA
UAUAAUAACAAACAGGGUGAAGCACGUCGCUGUGUCUUAAUGAUACGUAUUACCUCUAAAUAUUUCUGAACACCACACAUCAUCCCGGCGCGGUAUAGCUUUUUUUAAUCCGAUACAUUUCAUUGAUUUAUACACUUUUCAAUGAAAACACCCUGUUUCCUCUUCUUUAUUUCUUCUUUUUUUUUAGAAUUUAGUCUCAAACAAAAUGAUCCAUUUUACACAUCCACUGAGGGUUUAUAAACCCUGCUGGCUGCUGCUAAACAGCAUUAAUGUUUGUGUAUGACUCUUCUGGGUAGUGGGAUAAAUGUACUGUAGGUACGUACUUCUAAGCAGAAACAGUCACUUUACUUAAUAUGCCCAAAGACCCUUGUCAUGUCAGGAUCUGGUAUAAUGUGAUAACCAAAGAUCAAUUUGCUUUGUGAUUUCAUGUGUACUACAGCAUUCAUAAACUCAUGUCUAACCCCAUUCACAACAUGAAAUUAGUGUGACUGCCAAGCUGUACUGACUGUACUGAUCAAGUUAAAUAUUUACAGAAUAACAUACUUCUCUACACCUCUUCAAUUAUAAAAAAAAUUUAAAUCCGCAUAUGUUGUGUGUUUGUGACUAGCAAACAAGGGUAAAACACUUCCGGAGCUAUAAGACCAUGACCACUUCACUCUGCCGCUAAACUACAGCGUAAUCAUCGUCAUCCAGUCUGCUUGGAAAGACCAUAGCAGCCAACACAUGUCAUAGUGCAGAAAUAAGAAUCUGAGCAGUUUUUAAAACUAGAAAUUGUAAGAAAAAACUGUGUUUUGAAGAGUCUGCAUGUACACCUGUGGUAAUUGUUUUAUUUCGUUUUGAUUGAUUGAUUGAUUUGAACAUUCCUGGGAUGAUUUCGAUGAGCAGGACUCCACUGUACUGUUGCCAUUUAGGCUCUGCUAUGAUUGUGUUAGUCACGUGGUAAAUCCUUUUCUCACAGGGCCAGAGUUAACUUCAGCAGAAACAUGUCAUCCAUAUGAGAUAGAGUAUAUUAAGACUAUAUUACUAUAUUAAUAUAUUUAUGCUAUUCAGUACAGCAUUAAAUAUUCUAUGUUUUAUACGACGUAACCUCAACAGCAUUUAUGCAAAACUCCUGAUGCGUAGAAAGCUGUAGAUAAAAUAGGCAAACUAAACAAAUGAUUCAACUAAAUGGCAACAAUUCUAAUUGCGCAGAAUAAUUGCUCAGAAUAGUACUAAGUUGUGAAUUUGUAGAUAUUGUGAAAUUAAUUCCGAUAGUUUUUGUGAAUAUUGAUAUGUCAUGUCAUUUAUUUUUACAUUUGAUAAGUACUGCUGUCUUACAUUGAGCUCUGUAACACUACGUGUUAUGGUAUUAUAAAGAUGUACAGUAGAGAUAAUACUCAUCGAGCUAUUAACACGAUCCGUACCUUGUGUGCACUUUUCAAACCUAACUGUGAAUAAGCAGCUGUCUGCAAGCAGAGUCGUACACACUGUGUUCUCUCUCCAGCAAUUUCACUGCAUGUCUCUACGCAUUGAGAGAUCAAAGACUUCCUCUACAAAGACAGCUCCGGGAACUUUGUGGACUUUGUGUUUUCGUUAGGAAGUGGUCUCUAUAUGCUCAGUGACUGGACUCUGUGUUGCCCUCUGUCAUUCGUGUGCUUACUGUAUGGGAUAUAGCAAAUGGAAAUGAGGAUUAAAAGGACCGUGUAUUUUGUCUUGGAGUUAAAAGGCCCUUCUUGGUGACAUCCGAGCCUCAAAGGUGCACGCUUUCAACACGCUGGACUCACCUGAUGCUCCUUUAGAGGCUCAUUUGACG